rnacentral:rRNA from 1 species
UACGGGGGGGGCAAGCGUUGUUCGGAAUUACUGGGCGUAAAGCGUGCGCAGGCGGUUCGUCGUGUCCGAUGUGAAAGCCCCGGGCUCAACCUGGGAAUGGCAUUGGAAACUGGCGGGCUUGAGUGUGGCAGAGGGGGGUGGAAUUCCGCGUGUAGCAGUGAAAUGCGUAGAGAUCAUGAGGAAGACCAGUGGCGAAGGCGGGUCUCUGGACAGUUCCUGACACUGAGGCACGAAGGCCAGGGGAGCAAACGGG